rnacentral:rRNA from 1 species
UUCGGCGUGCUUAACACAUGCAAGUCGAACGGAAAGGCCCUGCUUUUGUGGGGUGCUCGAGUGGCGAACGGGUGAGUAACACGUGAGUAACCUGCCCUUGACUUUGGGAUAACUUCAGGAAACUGGGGCUAAUACCGGAUAGGAGCUCCUGCUGCAUGGUGGGGGUUGGAAAGUUUCGGCGGUUGGGGAUGGACUCGCGGCUUAUCAGCUUGUUGGUGGGGUAGUGGCUUACCAAGGCUUUGACGGGUAGCCGGCCUGAGAGGAUGACCGGCCACAUUGGGACUGAGAUACGGCCCAGACUCCUACGGGAGGCAGCAGUGGGGAAUAUUGCACAAUGGGCGGAAGCCUGAUGCAGCAACGCCGCGUGCGGGAUGACGGCCUUCGGGUUGUAAACCGCUUUCGCCUGUGACGAAGCGUGAGUGACGGUAAUGGGUAAAGAAGCACCGGCUAACUACGUGCCAGCAGCCGCGGUGAUACGUAGGGUGCGAGCGUUGUCCGGAUUUAUUGGGCGUAAAGGGCUCGUAGGUGGUUGAUCGCGUCGGAAGUGUAAUCUUGGGGCUUAACCCUGAGCGUGCUUUCGAUACGGGUUGACUUGAGGAAGGUAGGGGAGAAUGGAAUUCCUGGUGGAGCGGUGGAAUGCGCAGAUAUCAGGAGGAACACCAGUGGCGAAGGCGGUUCUCUGGGCCUUUCCUGACGCUGAGGAGCGAAAGCGUGGGGAGCGAACAGGCUUAGAUACCCUGGUAGUCCACGCUGUAAACGGUGGGUACUAGGUGUGGGGUCCAUUCCACGGGUUCCGUGCCGUAGCUAACGCUUUAAGUACCCCGCCUGGGGAGUACGGCCGCAAGGCUAAAACUCAAAGGAAUUGACGGGGCCCCGCACAAGCGGCGGAGCAUGCGGAUUAAUUCGAUGCAACGCGUAGAACCUUACCUGGGUUUGACAUGGAUCGGGAGUGCUCAGAGAUGGGUGUGCCUCUUUUGGGGUCGGUUCACAGGUGGUGCAUGGCUGUCGUCAGCUCGUGUCGUGAGAUGUUGGGUUAAGUCCCGCAACGAGCGCAACCCUUGUUCACUGUUGCCAGCACGUUAUGGUGGGGACUCAGUGGAGACCGCCGGGGUCAACUCGGAGGAAGGUGGGGAUGACGUCAAGUCAUCAUGCCCCUUAUGUCCAGGGCUUCACGCAUGCUACAAUGGCUGGUACAGAGAGUGGCGAGCCUGUGAGGGUGAGCGAAUCUCGGAAAGCCGGUCUCAGUUCGGAUUGGGGUCUGCAACUCGACCUCAUGAAGUCGGAGUCGCUAGUAAUCGCAGAUCAGCAACGCUGCGGUGAAUACGUUCCCGGGGCUUGUACACACCGCCCGUCAAGUCAUGAAAGUUGGUAACACCCGAAGCCGGUGGCCUAACCGUUGUGGGGGAGCCGUCGAAGGUGGGACUGGUGAUUAGG